CUGACUGCUAUCGGAUUGAUACUAAGCCAUGCGAGUCAUUGUAGUAAUACAAGGCAGACGGCUCAGUAACGCGUAGUCAACCUAACCUAUGGACGGGAAUAACCUCGGGAAACUGAGUAUAAUGCCCGAUAGAACAUUAUGCCUGGAAUGGUUUAUGUUCCAAAUGAUUUAUCGCCGUAGGAUGGGACUGCGGCCUAUCAGUUUGUUGGUGAGGUAAUGGCCCACCAAGACUAUUACAGGUACGGGCUCUGAGAGGAGUAGCCCGGAGAUGGGUACUGAGACACGGACCCAGGCCCUAUGGGGCGCAGCAGGCGAGAAAACUUUGCAAUGUGCGAAAGCACGACAAGGUUAAUCCGAGUGGUUUCUGCUAAAGGAACCUUUUGUCGGUCCUAGAAACACCGAUGAAUAAGGGGUGGGCAAGUUCUGGUGUCAGCCGCCGCGGUAAAACCAGCACCUCAAGUGGUCAGGAUGAUUAUUGGGCCUAAAGCAUCCGUAGCCGGCUCUAUAAGUUUUCGGUUAAAUCUGUACGCUCAACGUACAGGCCGCCGGGAAUACUGCAGAGCUAGGGAGUGGGAGAGGUAGACGGUACUCGGUAGGAAGGGGUAAAAUCCUUUGAUCUAUCGAUGACCACCUGUGGCGAAGGCGGUCUACCAGAACACGUCCGACGGUGAGGGAUGAAAGCUGGGGGAGCAAACCGGAUUAGAUACCCGGGUAGUCCCAGCUGUAAACUAUGCAAACUCAGUGAUGCAUUGGCUUGUGGCCAAUGCAGUGCUGCAGGGAAGCCGUUAAGUUUGCCGCCUGGGAAGUACGUACGCAAGUAUGAAACUUAAAGGAAUUGGCGGGGGAGCACCACAAGGGGUGAAGCCUGCGGUUCAAUUGGAGUCAACGCCGGGA
rnacentral:rRNA from 1 species